rnacentral:lncRNA from 1 species
GUUUAAUACACUGGAUUUUUGUUAUAUUAUAGUUCCCUUAUUUAAUGCAAUGUUUACCUAAAAUUAUUUAAAUAGUAAUUAAAAACUUCAGUAUGUGCCUAAAAACUUUCCAUGAAACAAUCAUUUUCUUUAGCCAGGUGUGUAAUCCUAUAAAAGUGUGAAGGCCUGUAGUCCCAGGAGCUCAGGUGGCUGAAGCAGGAGGAUCACAAAUUCAAAGCCAGCCUCAGCAAUUACCAAGGUACUAAAUAAUUUAAUGAGAUCCUCACUCAAAAUUUAAAAAUUUUUAAAAGGGUGUGACUCAAUGGAAAAGCACCUCUGGGUUCAAUUCCCCAGUACCAAAAAUAAAAUAAUAAAAUAAAAUAUUCUCUCCAUUUUUUCUAUCUUUUAAUUUUUAAAUAUAUAAAGCAUUUAAUACUCUAUCUUCAACACUUACAUGUAUUUUGGUCUCACCUUGUAGUUUACUUGCACUGGUUCUUCUUCAGGGUAGUUCAUUUCAUCAUGUGUUUUGAUUUUAUUGUUGUGAGUUCAUGUUUCCUAGACAUCAGUCUGUCAGUGUUAGGGAACAGACAGAUGAUGAUGGUGGAAAGCUAUCAGCCUGGAGAAGAGAACAUAAACUACAUCAGUACUUAGAACCAAGUAAAAUUUUUGUUUGGCCAGGUGCCUCCCAACUAAAGACUCCUUACAAAACCUAGUUUAUGGAUCUAAGGUCACACCUUGAAAAUAUAGUUGGCAUUCUUAAAAAGCUGGUCUCAAUUUACUAUUCAAAAAUUCACUGGAGAUAUUUUUGAUUUUUAUUUUGUCCUUGAUUCUCAAUGGAGGCAAAGGCAAGAACAGAACCAUCCCCACAAAUACUCUGUAGGAGAAGUUAUUUUUCUACAUCGCUUUCAGGGAUCUUGCCUUUUAGAGGUCCUAGUUUUAAGAAGAGGUCCCAGCCUUCUGGUUCAAGCCCAAAUUAUGAAUUAAAACAUGGUCCACUUAAUUUUAUAUUUUCUUAACAGUUAUUAUAUGUAUUUAUGGGGUUAAAUGUAAUUCUUUGAUAUGUAUACAUUUGGGAUGAAUAAAUCAAGUUAACUAU